rnacentral:rRNA from 1 species
AAUGAACGUUGGCGGCGUGGAUUAGGCAUGCAAGUCGAGCGAGAACCCCGCAAGGGGGGACAGCGGCGAAAGGGACAGUAAUGUGUAGAUUAUCUGCCCUCAGGUCCGGGAUAGCUGCGGGAAACCGCAGGUAAUACCGGAUAACAUCUCCGGAUCAAAGGUGUGAUUCCGCCUGAGGAUGAGUCUGCAUCCUAUUAGCUAGUUGGUGGGGUAAUGGCCUACCAAGGCAUUGAUGGGUAGCAGGUGUGAGAGCACGACCUGCGUCAUUGGGACUGAGACACUGCCCAGACACCUACGGGUGGCUGCAGUCGAGAAUCUUCGGCAAUGGGCGCAAGCCUGACCGAGCGACGCCGCGUGUGGGAUGAAGGCCUUCGGGUUGUAAACCACUGUCAGAGGGGAUGAAAUGCAGGUGGGUUCUCCCAUCUGUUUGACAUAGCCUCAGAGGAAGGACGGGCUAAGUUCGUG